CGCGCCAAUCAAUUUCAACCCUUCUUCUUCGUAGGACACCCGCCCCUGUGAUUUUUUUUCUUCUUUUUCUUUUUUUCCGAUCAACUCCGGCCGUCGUCUUCCACCCGAGGCGUUCGUCCAGCAGGUUACUUUUCGUAGCCUUCGCGUCUCCGUUAGCCCAGCCGAAGCGUUGCUCUUCGUCCGUUUCCUUUUCUGUUUCGCAUUCCGGCGAGCCACGCCGAGGUGACGUCUUUCUCUGCCCCUGAUCUAUCGUCAUGUGUCCGCCGGCCGCCAUCGCUCCUUUGACCAGUUUUCGCCCGGGUUGUUGUCUCAAUUGUUAUGCAUCUAGAUGUCCCCAUCUGAACAUGGCUGUCGCCAUCGAUUUGUCUUCUCAAGAACAUGGUUGAUGCUAAAUGAGCGAAGAGACGAACAGAAAGAUGUGUGGUCAGAGCAGACGAACAAACGGGAUUAGUGGUUUACGACGUGAGGCUGUGCUAAACGAACGGAGGAUGAAUGAUCAGAGUAGACGUACAGACGGGUAGAAGAACAGACGGAUCUAAACAUGAUUUGUGGUUUACGACUCGCGAACGAAUAGAGAGACAGAUCUGGAUGGGAUCGGGACGAAGCCAAUGGAGUGACAGAUGGGAGGUCUGCCGCACUCGGAUGAAUAGAGAGAAAUGCGGGCUUGACGGCAAGGGACAUCUAGGACAAGUUUAUGAAGAGGAAGUUUAUGAGAACUUCCCAUUCAUUGAAGCCAACUGUUCCAAAUCGUGUAGGGGAUGGGAUUUUUAGCUGAUUUGUUGCUUCUCUAUAUGAGUGAAGAGGAUGCAUUCUGGCUGUUGGUCGAAUUACUCAAAGGUGCAGUUCAUGCUCCAAUGGAAGAAUUGUAUCUGAUUGAACCAAGUACAGAAGCAAUUAAACUUGCAUUAAUGUCAUAACAUCCAAUUGAGUUGAGCCUUAUUCCGUGUGCUUUCUUCUUUCUUAAGGCUAAAGGAGAUGAAGAAAUUGAGAUUCGAGUUCGUGUUAGAGUCCAAAAGAGCAAGGUUAUCAUUUAAUAUAGAAAAGUAUUAAGGAAGGGGCGAUGCUUUGUUGAGUUUCCAAUCUUUUCUGCAGAGCGUCGACGUCUUAUUCUAUAAUGGGUUUGCUAUAGGUGUCAAGGUCAUACAAGCAAGCUGAUUUUGAAAUUAUCUUUGGAGAGGAAGUAAGUAAACUGGUUGGGACAGGGAAGAGACAAAGCUCUGCAGUACUUAAAAGAUAAUCCCGCUCUUCAAGAUGAAAUCGAGAAGGAACUGUGUGUAAUGAUUGGUGGUUCGAUUGUUUUCUCGGCAGCGUAUCGUUGUUGCUUAUUACUUCAUGACAGUGUUUAUGUACAUGAUUAGCCCAAGAAUGACAUGUAAGUUUGAGUGCAGGAACUGUGUGUAAUGAUUGGUGGUUCGAUUGUUUUCUUGGCAGCAUAUCGUUGUUGCUUAUUACUUCAUGACAGUGUUUAUGUACAUGAUUAGCCCAAGAAUGACAUAUGUUAAACGGUGGGAAUAUAUUUCAUAUUGCCUUUCUCAGCUGAUUUCACAAAAAAGGGAAUGAAAAAGUUAUAGAUUCAAUCGAGACAUACAGACAUCUUGUCUUGGAGGACUAUGUAAUGGAACAUUCAAGACGUAGGAAUCAAGUGCAUUUUGAGAGCUAAUGUACUUUAUCUAAGCUUGUUUAGUUUGAAUAACAAUCUUUAUUCCAGGAAAUUAUUUAAUACUUUAUUUUGUAAUAUUGAUGAAUGAUCGAUGGAAGUUAUGGUGUGUUUGGUUCA